rnacentral:lncRNA from 1 species
CCGGCCCAAACAUCACACAGAAUAACUUGGCAAAACAAUUAGGACCUCCUCAAUUCAUUCAGAGAUGUGGACGACAGUGCUCGCUGAGCAUACGCACGGGCCGAGCGUUGCAUUCCGAAUAAACUAAGCAGUGAUCAGUAGCAACACUCACAUAACAAAUAAGGAUUGGGCUUAUAAGCUUUAGGCUAGAUAAGGCUACAUUGCUGCAUGGU